CACGUAGGAGGCGAGCGUUAUUCGGAUUUACUGGGCGUAAAGCGCAUGUAGGCGGCUGAUCAAGUUGGAUGUGAAAGCUCCCGGCUUAACUGGGAGAGGACGUUCAAAACUGAACAGCUUGAGUAUGAGAGAGGAAAAUGGAAUUCCGGGUGUAGUGGUGAAAUGCGUAGAUAUCCGGAGGAACACCAGUGGCGAAGGCGAUUUUCUGGCUCAAGACUGACGCUCAGACGCGAAAGCUAGGGUAGCAAACGGG
rnacentral:rRNA from 1 species